CGGUGGAUGAUGUGGUUUAAUUCGAUGCAACGCGAAAAACCUUACCACCUUUGACAUGUACGGAAUUUGCCAGAGAUGGCUUAGUGCUCGAAAGAGAGCCGUAACACAGGUGCUGCAUGGCUGUCGUCAGCUCGUGUCGUGAGAUGUUGGGUUAAGUCCCGCAACGAGCGCAACCCUUGUCAUUAGUUGCUACAUUCAGUUGGGCACUCUAAUGAGACUGCCGGUGACAAACCGGAGGAAGGUGGGGAUGACGUCAAGUCCUCAUGGCCCUUAUAGGUGGGGCUACACACGUCAUACAAUGGCUGGUACAGAGGGUUGCCAACCCGCGAGGGGGAGCUAAUCCCAUAAAACCAGUCGUAGUCCGGAUCGCAGUCUGCAACUCGACUGCGUGAAGUCGGAAUCGCUAGUAAUCGCGGAUCAGAAUGUCGCGGUGAAUACGUUCCCGGGUCUUGUAC
rnacentral:rRNA from 1 species